rnacentral:rRNA from 1 species
AGAGUUUGAUCAUGGCUCAGGAUGAACGCUAGCUACAGGCUUAACACAUGCAAGUCGAGGGGAAACGACAUCGAAAGCUUGCUUUUGAUGGGCGUCGACCGGGCGCACGGGUGAGUAACGCGUAUCCAACCUGCCCACCACUUGGGGAUAACCUUGCGAAAGUAAGACUAAUACCCAAUGACGUCUCUAGAAGACAUCUGAAAGAGAUUAAAGAUUUAUCGGUGAUGGAUGGGGAUGCGUCUGAUUAGCUUGUUGGCGGGGUAACGGCCACCAAGGCGACGAUCAGUAGGGGUUCUGGAGAGGAAGGUCCCCCACGAUUGGAACUUGGAGACCACGGUCCAAACGUCCUACGGGAGGCA